GACACCAUUUAACAGAAAGCUCCUUUAUUCCAUAAAUAAAUUCAACAUACAUGUAAAGCUUCAUACAGAAGUAGAACAUACAUAUAAAAACAUCUCCCUCGACUUUAUUAAUUCCCUAAACCUGCAAUUCUGUAAAUUGCAUUAUUUUUUAGCACACUUCUAAGUUAAGGAGGGAAAAUUAUUACACAAAAUAGAUAAGUACUAGUAUUACAUGUAGAGAGAACCCUUUAUUACCUAAAAUUAUCCAGUCCUCAGCCUCCAACAAUUCCAAGAAAAAUCACAUCAUUUCUUCAUCACGCAUGAAUAGCUCUCAAUUUCGAUCUCUGUCAUAGCCCUCCACACAUAUAUAUAUAAUUCUCUCCCUCAAUUUGCCAACAAAAAACCCAAUGGAAUCUCACCAUCUAGGUUAAAAAACAUGAAAAAAGGAGUGGCAUUUCUAGAGAGAGGCAUAUAUAUAUUGGAGAAGCUAGGACAAAAGAAGCAAUUGCAGAAAAGCCUUCCACACCGAUCAUGCAGUUUCUGGCUCUUAAAAGUUUCUUGGAAUUCUGAUCAUGCGAGAGACUAAUAUAUAUUAUAAAAAUAAAAGGGAAAAUUAAUUACUAUAGAUAUAUGUAUAGGGGGGAAAUGGAAGGUUGGUUAUAUAUCAUCUCCUUGAAUAUACCAGCAGAGAAGCAUAGUGGCGCAGCGGCGGAGGAUAUAGAUGCGAGCUCGUUGUUCUUUAACUAAAGAAGAGCAUUUUCGUGUGAACCCAUGUGCUCUUUUUGAUGUACUGUAGUUGUUCUUCACUUCACCCAUUUUUGUUUUUUUUUUUUUUCUCGAGUCCCUUGAUGAGAAAGGGGAAAAUGGAAGGUUGGGUAAAAAGCUCACAAAUGAGUGGAGCUGGACCCUAAUUAGAAAAAAAUGGAGUUACUGAGUUUGAAAUAUACAUAUAGACAUAGGGUGGGAGGUGGAGUUGAA
rnacentral:lncRNA from 1 species